rnacentral:rRNA from 1 species
CGCACGGGGUGAGUACGCGUAGGUAUCUGCCUCGAAUCUGGAUAACCCGCGAAAGCGGGGCUAUACUGGAUNGCAAUCCAGUUAGCUUGGCUAUAUGGACUCAAUGUGGGCUCUGCAUGCAAGCUACUGGUUUGGGGAUGAGUCCGCGUACCAUCAGCUUGAUGGUGGGGUAACAGCCCACCAAGGCGACGAUGGUUAGCUGGUCUGAGAUGAUGAUCAGNCACACUGGAACUGGAACACGGUCCAGACUCCUACGGGAGGCAGCAGUGAAGACAUUUGCGCCAUGGGGGUAACCCUGACGCAGAAACGCCGCGUGAGUGAUGAAUGCCUUCGGGUCGUAAAGCUCUGUCAAGUGGGAAGAACCCAUUCCGGCACAACAAGCCGGGGUGCUGACGGUACCACUGAAGGAAGCACCGGCUAACUCCGUGCCAGCAGCCGAGGUAAUACGGAGGGUGCGAGCGUUAUUCGGAAUUACUGGGCGUAAAGGGCGCGUACGCGGCCGAUUAAGUCAGAUGUGAACUCCCGGGGCUUACCCCCGG